rnacentral:lncRNA from 1 species
UAGAAGGUGAAGGAUGCAGAGGAGACACUAGCUGCUCCAGGCUGCUCUGUCCCAUUCUAAGAGAAAAGGAAAAGUGGGAGAGGGGAUCACAGAUCAUGCCCAGAUUCCUCACAGGCAUAGAUGCUGCUAUGGAAACAUCCCUGAUGGUCCAGGUUUGUGGUGGAAGAGAUUGCAACGCUCUGCUUCCUGGAAAUCUGUGUUUACAGCCAACGCAGUUGCUGCCCGAGACAGCCCCACCUGAAGACCCCAGAGCUAUCCCAGCUUGCCAGCCUUCCCCUCCUCCUGUUAUCACCCCAUGCUGCUGAGAACCUGUCUGGCAGGCGGCCCAGCCAAGGCCGGGGCCUAAUCUCAAGUAAAAUUGACACAUCCUCGUGAGGGCUGAGGAACAUCCUCUCUCCCCACAGAGCCUCACUCAGGUUCUCAUCUACUUACUUGGGGUCUGUACCGCCUCCCUCAGGAGUUUGGAACCACAUACUCUUCUGGAGGGGACCUCUCACUGCUGCCGAACCUGUCCUCCAGGAUACCCACAAGUGUUCAUCUCGGUCGUGGCUAAUUAACUUACCAUAUGGUAGUGAACUACCUUCUGGGGCCCCAAUAUUUUGUUUAUUUUUUAAAAAUAAAAUUAGUACCAUUAUUUAUUUUCUGAAUGUACAGAAAUAUUUGUCUGAUUAUUAUUUACAUGCCCUUUGGGAAAACUUUAUAAAAUAAAAAAAUAUGAAGGAGAAUCCUACCACACAGAGAUAAUCACUUUAAUUAUUUUUCUAUUCAUAUUUGCACAUACAGGUAUAUAUGGGAUCAUGCUCUGUAUAUGUUGGGAGUGCAUUAAUCUGAAAGUUCAGUCACUUAAACAAAGACAGGUUCAUUUUUCUUACAUAGUUAAAGUAUCUAUGGUUCCUGGCUAUGGUUCACUGGGUCAACAAUGUUAGGCCCAGCAUCUUUGUGAGUCUGUUGGAAUUUAGCUCAUGGCUGUAAGACGGCUACUGCAGCUCCAAACACUACCUGAGUUUACAUGGCCAGCAAAAGCAGUCACUUCUGUAUUCUUAUUAGAAAAGCAAGAACUUCAGAGGUGACCCCCAGAGGAUUUCUCUUUAGGUCUGGAAAUCUGUGUUUAGAUUGGCCAGAGCCUGAUCUCAUGACCAUCCCUAGCAGUAGAGAAUAGCAUUGUCAUGAUUGACUUUGGAUCAAUCAUAAUUUAUUGACUGAGAGUGCGCAUGUGGUCCCCCAAAGAAGAUCAAGAAAGGAGGGAAUUUGCAGUGUGUACUACAGCAUGCAUGCUGUUUUAUAAUCUGCUCUUUCUUUUCAUUGCAUAUUUCAAACAUCUUUCCAUACUAAGAAAUAUAGAUUCAGUCGUUCGUUUAACAACAAAUUAUUGAGAGAGUACUGUGUUCCAGGAACUUAACUUGGCAUGGAGGACACAAUAAUGAACAUAGUAUACUCCUUGCCUCCAUGGAGCUUAGCAUCUAAUGAGGGAUACAGAAACUCAUCAAAGAGGUUCACAAAGAAAUGUAAAAUUACGACUGUAAUUUGUGCUGAAAAGGAGGGAGGUGUGUGGUGUGUGAGAGCAGUGACAGGAGAUUUGACUCAAUCAGGAGGGAGUGUGUUCUGAAUGGCCAUAAGCCAGCCCCUUGCCUAGCUGUAGCACAAUUAUUUAGCCAAUCUCUUAUUGCUGGACAUUUACAUUCUUCCCAUAUCUUACCUACUAUAAUCAAUGCAACAAUAAAUAUCCUUCUCUAAGUACCACUUGGCACACUUGUCUGAUUAUUUCCUCAGGAUAAUUUCCUAGGGUAAAGCCAGGCACCACGGUUCAUGCCUGUAAUCACAGCUACUCAGGAGGCCAAAGUGGGAGGAUCACUCGUGGCCAGUAGUUCGUGGCCAGCCUGGGCAACAUAGGGAAGUCUUGACUCAAAAAAAAAUCCUAGAAGAAAUGAACAAUUCUUAGAUGUCGAAUUGUCAGAUCAAGGGGUGCACCAUCACCAUCCCCAUACUCACCAUCACCAUCCUCAUUAUCAUCAUCAGUCUCACCCUCACCAUUCUCACCAGCAUCAGCAGCAGCAUCCUCACCAUAACUAUCACAGUAUAAUCACCACCUUCACCAUCACCAUCCUCACCAUCACCAUCAUCAUCAUUAUCACCACCACCAUUUUCACCAUCACCAUCCUGACCAUCACCAUCAUUAUCACCUCAUCACCACCAUCUUUACCAUCACCAUCACCAUGCUCACCUUCACCAUUCUCAUCAUCAUCAUCAUCAUCCUCAGCAUAACUAUCACUAUCAUUAUCACCACCUUCACCAUCACCUUCUUCACCAUCACCAACAUUAUCACCGUCGCUAUCCUCACCAUCAUCCUCAACAUAACUAUCACUAUCAUUAUCACCACCUUCACCAUCACCGUCAUCGUCAUCAUCAUCACAACCACAAUUAUGAAAAUCUUGGAGGAAAAGGAAGGAGGUAGCAUAUUAAAAUACAGGUACUUUGAUGAGGAAGAACAGGCAGAGUUGAAGCUGGGGAGGGGAUAUCAAACAAUGGAGACCCCCAGAACAUAAAACUAAGAAGCUCAGGCUUUGCCCAGAAUCAGAGGCAUCCUUGAAGAUUUAUCAGCAGGAGAGUAUGCAGUCAGAUUUGUGUUUAGGCAGAACAUUGAGCAAUCCUCAGAAGGAAGAAGCAGAGGAAGGGAAGCCCACAGAGGAGACAGAACCUUCAACACCAACCAGGGACCUGGUCCUGGGUCCAGCAGAUCUGUCAGGAAUGAGGAACGGGAGGCUCAUGGGUAAAGGCUGCAGCCAGGCAGGGAAAGGCCUCACUCUCCCUGCCACUCCUUUCCCUGCUCCCUACUUUCCUGUCCCAUCUUUGCUAAUAGGCUCAGCAUCUCCAACUGCACCCACCCACUAGAUUUGCCCCAAUUCCUCCUCCUCUCUCAUGCCUGAGGCCCAGGUGGCUUCCGGAGCUGACCAGGUCUACU